rnacentral:rRNA from 1 species
UAAAAAUUUAAAUUUAAAAUACUAAAAUAGUAUAUAAUUAUUUAUUGAAACUUAAAUAAUUUGGCGGUAUUUUAGUUCAUUUAGAGGAAUCUGUUUAUUAAUUGAUAAUCCACGAAUGAAUUUACUUAAUUUAAAAUUUUGUAUAUCGUUGUUAAAAAAAUAUUUUUAAAUGAAAAUAAUAUUUUAAUUUUAUAAUUAAAAAUUAAAUCAGAUCAAGAUGCAGAUUAUAAUUAAGAAUAUAAUGGAUUACAAUAAAUUUAUUUAAAUGGAUUUUUUUUUGUAAUAAAAAUGUGAAAGUGGAUUUAAAUGUAAUUUUAUUUAUUUUAAUAAAAUGAUUAUAUAUUAAAAUAUGUACAUAUUGCCCGUCGCUUUCAUAAAUAAAUUGGAAUAAGUCGUAACAAAGUAGAGGUACUGGAAAGUGUUUCUAGAAAUAA